GUUGACAAUUAAUAAGAUCUGAGACUUUAUUUCUCUUCUUUAUUUGAGAAAUCAAGAGGAUAUAUUUCUCUACCUUUGAGAAUUUGUUUCUCAACCCUGGUUCCUCAUAACUCUAUUGGUUCUGCAUAACUCAUGCUUUUGUGUCCGUCAUUCUAAAUGCUUGGUCAAACAUAUUAUGUUGUUGACCUAUAUUUUUGUAUUUUACUGCAGAUCUCAUGGCUUUUCUGCUUGCUUUGACAGCUUGACCAUUGAGAAUGUU
rnacentral:misc_RNA from 1 species